AUGAGUCGCCCUGAUGGCAAGUUCUACCUAGGAGAUGCUGGCUAUGCAUGUCGCCCAAGUGCUCUUCUACCCUUCAGGAAAACCAGGUACCAUCUGAACGAGUUCUCUGGUAGGAACUACCCUAGGUCUCCAAAGGAGCUGUUCAAUCUCAGACACUCCAGCCUUAGAGUAACGGUUGACAGGGCAUUGGGAGCUCUCAAGAACAGGUUCAAGAUCCUGGAUCAGAAGCCAUUCCACCCUCACCCUACCCAGGUUAAGCUUGUUCUUGCAUGUUGCAUUCUGCAUAACUGGAUCCUGCAAUGGGGUGUUGAUGAACUGGUGCUUGAGGACGAAGAGGUAACGUCUGACGAUCUUGACCUCGGUGGCCAUGGUGUUGAGGCAUUUGACAACGAAGCCUGGAAGAACAAAAGGCUGGAGUGGGCACAGACAAUGUGGGAUAACAGAGGUCAGACAAGGAUUUGA
rnacentral:rRNA from 1 species